CACGUAGGGGGCAAGCGUUGUUCGGAAUUAUUGGGCGUAAAGGGCAUGUAGGCGGUUUGGUAAGCCUGAUGUGAAAUCCUGCAGCUUAACUGUAGAAUUGCAUUGGGUACUGCCGAACUUGAAUCACUGAGGGGAAACUAGAAUUCCAGGUGUAGGGGUGGAAUCUGUAGAUAUCUGGAAGAAUACCGGUGGCGAAGGCGGGUUUCUAGCAGAUGAUUGACGCUGAGGUGCGAAAGUGCGGGGAGCGAACAGGAUUAGAUACCCUGGUAGUCCGCACCGUAAACGAUGUACACUAGGUGUCGGGGCAUGAGUCUCGGUGCCAAAGCUAACGUAAUAAGUGUACCGCCUGGGAAGUAUGCCCGCAAGGGUGAAACUCAAAGGAAUUGACGGGGGCCCGCACAAGCGGUGGAGCAUGUGGUUUAAUUCGAUGAUACGCGAGGAACCUUACCUGGGUUUGACAUCUAGUGGAAUGGUAUAGAGAUAUAUCAGCGUAGCAAUACGCCGCUAGACAGGUGCUGCAUGGCU
rnacentral:rRNA from 1 species